UACGUAGGGCGCAAGCGUUGUCCGGAAUUAUUGGGCGUAAAGAGCUCGUAGGCGGCUUGUCACGUCGGGUGUGAAAGCCCGGGGCUUAACCCCGGGUCUGCAGUCGAUACGAGCAAACUAGAGUGUUGCAGGGGAGACUGGAAUUCCUGGUGUAGCGGUGAAAUGCGCAGAUAUCAGGAGGAACACCGGUGGCGAAGGCGGGUCUCUGGGCCGAUACUGACGCUGAGGAGCGAAAGCGUGGGGAGCGAACAGG
rnacentral:rRNA from 1 species